rnacentral:rRNA from 1 species
UACAGAGGUGGCAAGCGUUGUUCGGAAUUACUGGGCGUAAAGGGCGCGUAGGCGGCUUGGUCAGUCCCGUGUGAAAUCCCUCGGCUCAACUGAGGAACUGCACGGGAAACUGCCUGGCUUGAGUUCGGGAGAGGGAAGCGGAAUUCCGGGUGUAGCGGUGAAAUGCGUAGAUAUCCGGAGGAACACCGGUGGCGAAGGCGGCUUCCUGGACCGACACUGACGCUGAGGCGCGAAAGCGUGGGGAGCAAACAGG